CGCUGGGUAGCCAUGUCCGGAAGGGAUAACCGCUGAAAGCAUCUAAGCGGGAAGCCCAUCCCAAGAUAAGGUCUCCCUGAAGGCCCCAGGUAGACUACCUGGUUGAUAGGCCCUAGGUGUAAGACCCGUAAGGGUUUUAGCCAAGGGGUACUAAUCGGCCGUUCGGCUUGAA
rnacentral:rRNA from 1 species